CAAUAGCGUAUAUUUAAGUUGUUGCAGUUAAAAAGCUCGUAGUUGGAUUUCUGGACGGAGCAGCCGGUCCGCCGCUGUGCGGUGUGUACUCGUGCUUGACUCGGUUCAUCCUUGUGGGGAAGCGCAUUUCGGCAUUCAGUUGUCGAGGCGGGGAACCACAUCAUUUACUGUGAAAAAAUUAGAGUGUUUAAAGCAGGCAUUUUGCUGUGAAUACAUUAGCAUGGAAUAAUAACAUAGGACUUUGAUUCUAUUUUGUUGGUUGGAGAUCAAGGUAAUGAUUAAUAGGGAUAGUUGGGGGUAUUCAUAUUUAAUUGUCAGAGGUGAAAUUCUUGGAUUUAUGAAAGAUGAACUCAUGCGAAAGCAUUUACCAAGGAUGUUUUCAUUAA
rnacentral:rRNA from 1 species